rnacentral:rRNA from 1 species
AUUGAACGCUGGCGGCAGGCUUAACACAUGCAAGUCGAGCGGAGCGAGGGUGCUUGCACCUUAGCUUAGCGGCGGACGGGUGAGUAAUGCUUAGGAAUCUGCCUAUUAGUGGGGGACAACAUUCCGAAAGGAAUGCUAAUACCGCAUACGCCCUACGGGGGAAAGCAGGGGAUCUUCGGACCUUGCGCUAAUAGAUGAGCCUAAGUCGGAUUAGCUAGUUGGUGGGGUAAAGGCCUACCAAGGCGACGAUCUGUAGCGGGUCUGAGAGGAUGAUCCGCCACACUGGGACUGAGACACGGCCCAGACUCCUACGGGAGGCAGCAGUGGGGAAUAUUGGACAAUGGGCGGAAGCCUGAUCCAGCCAUGCCGCGUGUGUGAAGAAGGCCUUUUGGUUGUAAAGCACUUUAAGCGAGGAGGAGGCUACUUAGAUUAAUACUCUGGGAUAGUGGACGUUACUCGCAGAAUAAGCACCGGCUAACACUGUGCCAGCCGCCGCAGUAAUAC